AAUUCUAUCUCCUCCCUUCUUCUUAUCUCUUUCCUUUCUUCUUUCCCUCUCUCCUCUCUCUUCUUCCCCACGUGACCGAAAGCUCCCCUUCUUCUUGUUUCUUGCUCGUGAAAACCAAAAACGGAGGAAGAACAGCAGCUCGCCGAGGUCCGUCACCGCCCAUCUCACCGCCACACCGCACGCCCGCGCACGCCCAGUGCUCCAUCGCCUCCCACCACGCUCGCCGUCCUCCCCCGUGCGAUCCAGCCCCUGUUUCACCUUUAACUAGCCUUGUUCGGCUAGCUCACGCCGCGGUCCGACCCCCCUCCGGCCACCAUUCGGCCUCCCCGCAGCUCUGCCCGCUCUCCCGAACCCUUGUCGCCCACAACCAACUCUUUUUCUCCUCUGUUUUGCAGCAACUCAGCAAGUUGCUGAGUGGGUUUCUAGCAACUUUGGGCCCGCUUUUGGGCCGUUUCCGGACCCUGAACCCGAGCCGUGCUUUGGGAAGAAUUGUUCCUCGCAUCGCCCCCGUCGGAUUGAUCCAAUUUGCACGCGAUAUGGUGAGUAAUCUCACUAAUCCCGGAUUAGUUGGCUAAUUAUGCUUAAGAUUGGUUUAGUUUUAAUUAAUUAUGUUUAGGUUGUUAGAUUAGAAUAAAUUAGCAAUUAUUAGUCAAUUGUGAUCCGAUUUAGAUAAAUUGAAUGUGUAAUUAGUAAGUAGACGUGGUCUACUAUUUAUUGGAAGUGUCUCGGGGUUUUUCCCGACCCUUGUGGGCUCCAAUUAGCUUUUCGGGCCUAAGUGGAAAUUUUUAGUACUAAANNNNNNNNNNNNNNNNNNNNNNNNNNNNNNNNNNNNNNNNNNNNNNNNNNNNNNNNNNNNNNNNNNNNNNNNNNNNNNNNNNNNNNNNNNNNNNNNNNNNGAGAUGGCCGACGACCGAAAUCUCGUGCUGACUGUCGUGGCGUAGUCCGUUUAUUUAGUUGAGCUCUACGUUGCAUGGAAUUGAAUUAAUUGUGAUUAUAAUAUUAUUUUCAUGGAUUAAUUAAUUUGGAUAAUUAAUUGGAAAAUAAUCGGGUGUCGGUUGACAGCACUAAAAGUGUUUUGGUGGACGCAAAUAAUGGUGGGAAUUGUGGAAACAAGAUUAUUGUAUUUUGGCUAAGGCCAAUCGUGUACCUACGCAUGAUAUUUUAUCAAUGAUGAUAAAAGAUGAAAAGAAAUGAUGUGUGAUGUGGUUCGGCGAUUAUUGCAUCGCUUUGGCAUGUAGGAUGCCUUAGAGAAUGCACGUAAAUUGUUGAAAGUUGAUCAUGCCUGUGUGGCGAUAAUUGAUCAUGCUUGUGUGGCGAUAGUUGAUCAUGCCUAUGUUGCGAUAAGUGAUCAUGCCUGUGUGGCGAUAGUGGCGAUAAUUGAUCAUGCCUCUGUGGCGUAGAUUGUGCCUGCGUGGCCGUAUUUCUGUGUGUCGAGUAUCGUGCCUGUGUGGCGUAAAUCGUGCCUACGUGGUCGUACUUCUGUGUGUUGAGUAUCGUUCCCGUGUGGUUGAAAGUGAUUGGAAUGUGUAAGAGCAUGCACAUAAAGUGUUUAUUGUAUAUCACCUUGGCAAAUAGACGCCAAGAGCAUUACUGUAGCUCUGUGACUGAGUGUACUGUUGGGAAUUAUAUGGUGUGGAGUGAGAUGACCUAGAAAUGGUCCAACUAACUUGAAAUCGAUUAGGUCGAUUGAUCGAUGAUUCGAUCUGAGUGUGAUUUGAUGUGAUUCAUUUCCUUGAUCUACUGUGUGAAUUGAUUGAUCGAAUGGAAUUGACCAUGAGUGGUCUUGUUGACGUGUAAUCGACUAGAUCGCUUUGAUCGAUAUUUCGAUCUGUGAUGUGAUUGCUUGUGUCUCUAUUUGAUCUGUGCUAAUAUGUAGGUGGAAUCUGAUGCCAAGGUACGUCUUCUGCCAUGUGCGUGUUUAGGCAGCCUAUAGUAUAAUGGUUUACUAAUCAGGCUUAGUGGGGUAGAACUCGCUGAGACGUAGUCUCAUCCCAGUUUGGGGAAAACAUUUCAGGACCCUGAUGAGAAGCUAAGGGGGAGGAAUUUGAGUGGGAGAACUCUGAGGUGAAACCUGAGGAGAAGAUAUUU
rnacentral:lncRNA from 1 species